AAAUUGAAGAGUUUGAUCAUGGCUAGAUUGAACGCUGGCGGCAGGCCUAACACAUGCAAGUCGAACGGUAACAGGAAGCAGUUUGUUGCUUCGCUGACGAGUGGCGGACGGGUAAUGUCUGGGGAAAUCGUCUGAUGGAGGGGAUAACUACUGGAAACGGUAGCUAAUACCGCAUAAUGUCGUAAGACCAAAGAGGGGACUCAAUUUUGCCAUCGGAUGCCCAGAUGGAUUAGCUUGUUGGUGGGGUAACGGCUCACCGCGCGACGAUCCUCAUUGGUCUGAGGAUGACCAGCCACACUGAACCGGAGACACGGUCCAGACUCUACGGAGUGCGCAAGUGGGGAAUAUUGUACAAUGGCGCAAGCCCGAUGCGCUUCAUGCCGCGUGUAUGAAGAAGGCCUUCGGGUCAAAAAGCACUUCAGCGGGGAAGGGAGAAAGCUAAUACCUUUGUUCAUUGACGUUACCUGCAGAAGAAGCACCGGCUACCAGCCAGCAGCCGCGGUAAUACGGAGGGUGUUGUUAAUCGGAAUUACUGGCGUGCGGCGCACGCAGGUUUGUUAAGUCAGAUGGAACCCUGGCUCAACCUCGGGAACUGCAUCUGAUACCGGCAAAGCUUGAGUCUCGUAGAGGGGUAGAAUCUGUGUAGCGGUGAAAUGCGUAGAGAUUCGAGGAAUACCGGUGGCGAAGGCGGCCCCGACGAAGACUGACGCUCAGGUGCGGCGGAGCAAACAGGAUUAGAUACCCCGGUAACCACGCCGUAAACGAUGUCGACUUGGUUGUGCCCCUGAGGCGGGCUUCCGAGCCAUCAUGCUGUCGACCGCCCGGGAGUACGGCCGCAAGAAAACCUCAAACAGAAUUGAUUAAAUGCACAAGCGGCGGGAGCAUGUGGUUUAAUUCGAUGCAACGCGAAGAUCCCCAAUUGGUCUUGACAUCCACGGAAGUUUCUUCUAGAGAUGAGGAAUGUGCCUUCGGGAACCGUGACAGGCAGGCUGCAAUGGCUGUCGUCAGCCUCGUGUUGUGAAAUGUUAUUAAGUCCCGCAACGAGCGCAACCUUAUCCCUUUGCUGCUGCUAUCCGGCCGGAACCAAAGGAGACCGCCAGUGAUAAACUGGAGGAGCGGGGAUGACGUCGUUCAUCGUACCCGCCACCUGCGCUACACACGUGCUACAAUGGCGCAUACAAAGAGAAGCACCGCGAGAGCAAGCGGACCUCAUGCGCGUCCGGAUUGUCGCAACCCGACCCACAGUCGGAAUCGCCAGUAAUCGUGGAUCAGGAAGCCACGGUGAAUACGUUCCCGGGCCUUGUUCACACCGCCCGUCACACCAUGGGAGUGGGUUGCAAAAGAAGUAGGUAGCUUAACCUUCGGGAGGGCGCUUACCACUUUGUGAUUCAUGACUGGGGUGAAGUCGUAACAACAAGGUAAAUCAGAAACCGCGUUGGAUCACCUUACCUUAAAGAAGC
rnacentral:rRNA from 1 species